rnacentral:rRNA from 1 species
GAUGAGCCUAUGUCGGAUUAGCUUGUUGGUGAGGUAAUGGCUCACCAAGGCGACGAUCCGUAGCUGGUCUGAGAGGAUGAUCAGCCACAUCGGGACUGAGACACGGCCCGAACUCCUACGGGAGGCAGCAGUGGGGAAUAUUGGACAAUGGGCGAAAGCCUGAUCCAGCCAUGCCGCGUGUGUGAAGAAGGCUUUCGGGUUGUAAAGCACUUUCAGUGAGGAAGAACGCCUUCGGCUUAAUACGCCGGAGGAAAGACUUCACUCACAGAAGAAGCACCGGCUAACUCCGUGCCAGCAGCCGCGGUAAUACGGAGGGUGCGAGCGUUAAUCGGAAUUACUGGGCGUAAAGCGCGCGUAGGUGGCUUGAUAAGCCGGUUGUGAAAGCCCCGGGCUCAACCUGGGAACGGCAUCCGGAACUGUCAGGCUACAGUGCAGGAGAGGAAGGUAGAAUUCCCGGUGUAGCGGUGAAAUGCGUAGAGAUCGGGAGGAAUACCAGUGGCGAAGGCGGCCUUCUGGACUGACACUGACACUGAGGUGCGAAAGCGUGGGUAGCAAACAGGAUUAGAUACCCUGGUAGUCCACGCCGUAAACGAUGUCGACUAGCCGUUGGGGUCCUUGAGACCUUUGUGGCGCAGUUAACGCGAUAAGUCGACCCGCCUGGGGAGUACGGCCGCAAGGUUAAAACUCAAAUGAAUUGACGGGGGCCCGCACAAGCGGUGGAGCAUGUGGUUUAAUUCGAUGCAACGCGAAGAUCCUUACCUACCCUUGACAUCGAGAGAACUUUCCAGAGAUGGAUUGGUGCCUUCGGGAACUCUCAGACAGGUGCUGCAUGGCUGUCGUCAGCUCGUGUUGUGAAAUGUUGGGUUAAGUCCCGUAACGAGCGCAACCCUUGUCCCUAUUUGCCAGCGAUUCGGUGGGGAACUCUAGGGAGACUGCCGGUGACAAACCGGAGGAAGGUGGGGACGACGUCAAGUCAUCAUGGCCCUUACGGGUAGGGCUACACACGUGCUACAAUGGUCGGUACAAUGGGUUGCGAAGCCGCGAGGUGGAGCUAAUCCCAUAAAGCCGGUCUCAGUCCGGAUCGGAGUCUGCAACUCGACUCCGUGAAGUCGGAAUCGCUAGUAAUCGUGAAUCAGAAUGUCACGGUGAAUACGUUCCCGGGCCUUGUACACAC